rnacentral:rRNA from 1 species
UACGGAGGAUCCAAGCGUUAUCCGGAAUCAUUGGGUUUAAAGGGUCCGUAGGCGGUUUUGUAAGUCAGUGGUGAAAGCCCAUCGCUCAACGGUGGAACGGCCAUUGAUACUGCAAGACUUGAAUUAUUAGGAAGUAACUAGAAUAUGUAGUGUAGCGGUGAAAUGCUUAGAGAUUACAUGGAAUACCAAUUGCGAAGGCAGGUUACUACUAAUGGAUUGACGCUGAUGGACGAAAGCGUGGGGAAGCGAACAGG